rnacentral:rRNA from 1 species
GACGAACGCUGGCGGCGUGCUUAACACAUGCAAGUCGAACGGAAAGGCCCUGCUUUUGUGGGGUGCUCGAGUGGCGAACGGGUGAGUAACACGUGAGUAACCUGCCCUUGACUUUGGGAUAACUUCAGGAAACUGGGGCUAAUACCGGAUAGGAGCUCCUGCUGCAUGGUGGGGGUUGGAAAGUUUCGGCGGUUGGGGAUGGACUCGCGGCUUAUCAGCUUGUUGGUGGGGUAGUGGCUUACCAAGGCUUUGACGGGUAGCCGGCCUGAGAGGGUGACAGGCCACAUUGGGACUGAGAUACGGCCCAGACUCCUACGGGAGGCAGCAGUGGGGAAUAUUGCACAAUGGGCGGAAGCCUGAUGCAGCAAAGCCGCGUGCGGGAUGACGGCCUUCGGGUUGUAAACCGCUUUCGCCUGUGACGAAGCGUGAGUGACGGUAAUGGGUAAAGAAGCACCGGCUAACUACGUG